rnacentral:rRNA from 1 species
GUGCCAGCCGCGCGGUAAUACCGGCAGCCCGAGUGAUGGCCGAUCUUAUUGGGCCUAAAGCGUCCGUAGCUGGCUGCACAAGUCUGUUGGGAAAUCCACGCGCUCAACGCGUGGGCGUCCAGCGGAAACUGUCUGGCUUGGGGCCGGAGGACUCGAGGGGUACGUCCGGGGUAGGAGUGAAAUCCCGUAAUCCUGGACGAACCACCGGUGGCGAAAGCGCCUCGAGAGGACGGACCCGACGGUGAGGAACGAAAGCCAGGGUCUCGAACCGGAUUAGAAACCCCAGUAGUCC